rnacentral:ncRNA from 1 species
UUGACCCUUAGAUCAUGCCGCUGAAUCUAAAACUAAACUAACCCAACUCAAAUAGCACCAUGUAACUGGUACACUUGUUCAGUAUUUAUGAAUAAAACGUAAACUUUUACUGGUAUUCAAAUGUCUGCCUUAUCAACUGUCGAUGGUAGGUUCUACGUCUAUCAUGAUUGUAACGGGGUAACAGUUAAUCAGGGUUCGAUUCUGGAGAGGGAGCCAUCAGAGAAACGUCUACUACAUCCAGGGAAGGCAGCAGGCGUGCAUUUGAUCCACAUGGGGAAGUUUAUAGUAAGGAAAAAUAACAAUAGAGGACAAUCCGAGACACCGAAAUCGGAAUGAGUAAAGUCUAAAUCCUUUAACAAAGAUCAAUUAGAGGACUAUACGUCUCGAAAA